UACGGGAGGCAGCAGUGGGGAAUAUUGCACAAUGGGCGCAAGCCUGAUGCAGCCAUGCCGCGUGUAUGAAGAAGGCCUUCGGGUUGUAAAGUACUUUCAGUCGUGAGGAAGGUGUUAAGGUUAAUAACCUUAGCAAUUGACGUUAGCGACAGAAGAAGCACCGGCUAACUCCGUGCCAGCAGCCGCGGUAAUACGGAGGGUGCGAGCGUUAAUCGGAAUUACUGGGCGUAAAGGGCACGCAGGCGGUUAAUUAAGUUGGAUGUGAAAUCCCCGGGCUUAACCUGGGAAUGGCAUUCAAGACUGGUUAGCUAGAGUCUUGUAGAGGGGGUAGAAUUCCAUGUGUAGCGGUGAAAUGCGUAGAGAUGUGGAGGAAUACCGGUGGCGAAGGCGGCCCCUGGGACAAGGACUGACGCUCAUGUGCGAAAGCGUGGGGAGCGAAACAGGGAUUAGAUACC
rnacentral:rRNA from 1 species